rnacentral:rRNA from 1 species
AGAGUUUGAUCAUGGCUCAGAAUGAACGCUGGCGGCAGGCCUAACACAUGCAAGUCGAACGGGUCCUUCGGGACUAGUGGCGGACGGGUGAGUAACGCGUGGGAACAUACCCAAAGGUACGGAAUAGCCUCGGGAAACUGAGAGUAAUACCGUAUGUGCCCUUCGGGGGAAAGAUUUAUCGCCUUUGGAUUGGCCCGCGUUGGAUUAGGUAGUUGGUGGGGUAAUGGCCUACCAAGCCGACGAUCCAUAGCUGGUUUGAGAGGAUGAUCAGCCACACUGGGACUGAGACACGGCCCAGACUCCUACGGGAGGCAGCAGUGGGGAAUCUUAGACAAUGGGGGAAACCCUGAUCUAGCCAUGCCGCGUGAUCGAUGAAGGCCUUAGGGUUGUAAAGAUCUUUCAGAUGGGAAGAUAAUGACGGUACCAUCAGAAGAAGCCCCGGCUAACUCCGUGCCAGCCAGCCGCGGUAAUACGGAGGGGGCUAGCGUUAUUCGGAAUUACUGGGCGUAAAGCGCACGUAGGCGGAUUAGNAAAGUCAGAGGUGAAAAUCCCCAGGG